UUCCUUUGAAAUGUUUGGACGCCCAAGGUCACUGCUAUUGAAGUACAAAAUGGCUUCACACUGCAUUUCACAGUUUCGUCCACCACGGCCAAUAUGCUAUUUUGGGGAAGACCAGCAUGUAUUACCUGGGCUACAUGCCGCAGGUCUGCCCCCAUCCCCAGUGCUACAGUAGCAAUUAUAACUUUCACGGGACUCUCUUUUGGAUCUUGUGCCAGAUUCUUAAAUAUGAUAUCCUUGAGCUGAAAUUCAUUUAUUAAAAUUUAGUAUGAGACAAUAUUCAACUCAUCUCCUUUUUCCAAACCAGAAUGGAACAUCACUACCCUGAGAUUCUCUGGACAUCUCCGCCCAUCACCACCAUAAAUACUAUCUCGAAGGAUUCUUCCCACAAGUUCAUGCCCGUUGCCCACCCAAUCCAUGUUCCCGCAGCAGUAUAUCAGUUUAAGAGGAUAAUCUUGAUUUUUUUUCUUAAGUUCACAGAAAACAGACUCGAACACAUAGUCAAAAGCCUUUUGUACGGAUUUGUUUUUCCCAACACCAGGUCUCUUUUUUUAUAAGUUUAAUGUUAUCUUUUGUUGGAACUGUGAUAAUGGACACAUACUGGGUCAUCAGCAGGUGCUGGGCAACAUUUUUCUGGCCAUCUGUGGACAAAGUAGCACUUAAUGCCAGCACUUGAACAUUCGGUACUACAGCUCUUGCAUGUAAAUUGAUUUCUCUAAAAACAGGACGGAAUCCCCCCCCCCCCAGUCUAGAAUACAGUGUGCCUCAUCGACAGCAAUAUAUGAUUUCUGAAGACAGGAGCGUAGAGCUUUAUAUACAGCUUUGUUACCAAUGAUGUUUUCAGGAUGAGAAAAAAUAUAUGUGUAAGUAUCUGAUGCAAUUUUGUCAAUUUCACUUUCAUUCAUUUUGUUUUUUAAGCAAAUGCUGGUGUUUUCCCAAGUUUACUCAGUUGCUGCUCUAUAAUGAUGUUAAGAGGUUCAAUGAUUAACACAAAAACAUCCACCUUAGUUUCUUCUUUGUAAGCUAUAGGUAAAAGUUCAUAUAUUAGACUUUUCCCAUAACCGGUCGGCAACAUACAUACCACAUCUGUCUGUUCAUUAACCAGCAGUUUGAGUGCUUCCUUUUGUUUAGAUUUUAGGCAUGUUAUAUUACAAUUAAAGGUGCUGUUGUACGUGUUUA